AUUGAACGCUGGCGGCAGGCCUAACACAUGCAAGUCGAACGAGUGGCGGACGGGUGAGUAAUGUCUGGGAAACUGCCUGAUGGAGGGGGAUAACUACUGGAAACGGUAGCUAAUACCGCAUACCAUCGGAUGUGCCCAGAUGGGAUUAGCUAGUAGGUGGGGUAAAGGCUCACCUAGGCGACGAUCCCUAGCUGGUCUGAGAGGAUGACCAGCCACACUGGAACGGAGACACGGUCCAGACUCCGACGGGGGGAAGAAGUGGGGAAUAUUGAACAAGGGGCGCAAGCCUGAGAAAGCAAUGCCGCAUGUAGGAAGAAGGCUUUCGGUUUGUAAAGUACUUUCAGCGGGGAGGCGUUACCCGCAGAAGAAGCACCGGCUAACUCCGUGCCAGCAGCCGCGUUAAUAC
rnacentral:rRNA from 1 species